GGUGCACGCUCCUCUUCUACGAGAGCGACGGCAGGUCGGGCAUCGAGCCGGGCAGCGUCCCCAAGCACGCCGUGUGGGUGGAGAACGGCAUCGUGCAGGCCGUGCCCGAGCACCCCAAGAAGGACUUCGUCUUCUGCCUCAGCAACUCCCUGGGCGACGCCUUCCUCUUCCAGGCCGGACGUCCCUCACACCAGUGACAGCAGCGCUGUCCUGCCAGCAGCUCCGUGACUGAGCCCUCGCUGUAGGCCGCCCUCUGGAGCGUGUUUAUAGUGUGAAUCGAGUGUGAUCUGGCGAGUUGGAUUGUGUGUCCAGAUUCUCACCUGUCGAUGUAGAUGGGUGACGCCGAGGCUUCCAAAGGCUAAACACUGGGCCCAGGUCACACAGUCGCCGAGCGGUGGGUCCUGGUUAAGCCAAGCCCCCCUUUCUCCGAAGCCUCUGACGGCCUCCGUGUCCUGUGUAUCCGCGGUAACACAGUCAGCAGCGGCUUUCUCUCGUCCUUAGGAGUCGGCUGCUCGCGGGGAAUAGUUCUAAAUCGUAUCUCACGUGGCUGCUCUGGGUCCCUCCGGUGGAGUGAUGGAUCGCUUUCAGGACGCUGUGUUCCGCUCUCCUUCCGAUCGAAUCCUCACCUGAGAACACAUACAGGGCGUCCCCAAAGAUGUGCACACACAGUUUGGAUCCUCAUAAAGCCAGUGUUUUCUAAAGUACAUUUCAUUUUCAAAGCCGA